AAUGCAAAUUAAAACCACAAUGAGUAGUGUGCUACAUGAGAGGCAAGACUUGGGAAACACCACAAGGGUCUUUGGCCCAAUGAGUGGAGUUUGAUAGUAAUUCUUGCUACAAGU